AAUAGCUCACUGGUCGAGUCGGCCUGCGCGGAAGAUGUAACGGGGCUAAACCAUGCACCGAAGCUGCGGCAGCGACGCUGAUGCGUUGUUGGGUAGGGGAGCGUUCUGUAAGCCUGCGAAGGUGUGCUGUGAGGCAUGCUGGAGGUAUCAGAAGUGCGAAUGCUGACAUAAGUAACGAUAAAGCGGGUGAAAAGCCCGCUCGCCGGAAGACCAAGGGUUCCUGUCCAACGUUAAUCGGGGCAGGGUGAGUCGACCCCUAAGGCGAGGCCGAAAGGCGUAGUCGAUGGGAAACAGGUUAAUAUUCCUGUACUUGGUGUUACUGCGAAGGGGGGACGGAGAAGGCUAUGUUGGCCGGGCGACGGUUGUCCCGGUUUAAGCGUGUAGGCUGGUUUUCCAGGCAAAUCCGGAAAAUCAAGGCUGAGGCGUGAUGACGAGGCACUACGGUGCUGAAGCAACAAAUGCCCUGCUUCCAGGAAAAGCCUCUAAGCAUCAGGUAACAUCAAAUCGUACCCCAAACCGACACAGGUGGUCAGGUAGAGAAUACCAAGGCGCUUGAGAGAACUCGGGUGAAGGAACUAGGCAAAAUGGUGCCGUAACUUCGGGAGAAGGCACGCUGAUAUGUAGGUGAAGUCCCUCGCGGAUGGAGCUGAAAUCAGUCGAAGAUACCAGCUGG
rnacentral:rRNA from 1 species